rnacentral:rRNA from 1 species
GAGAGAGACAUGCGCGCAUAUCAAUAAGCGGAGGAAAAGAAACUAACAAGGAUUCCCUUAGUAACGGCGAGUGAAGCGGGAAGAGCUCAAAUUUGAAAUCUUCAAGGUUCUACCUUGACGAAUUGUAGUUUAUAGAAGUGUUUUCUGUUAGUAGAGUGGCAAAAGUUCUUUGGAAUAGGACAUCAUAGAGGGUGAGAAUCCCGUAUUUGGUCAUUCCUCCUAGCGUUGUGAUACACUUUCAACGAGUCGGAUUGUUUGGGAAUGCAGUCCAAAAUGGGUGGUAAAUUUCAUCUAAAGCUAAAUAUUGGCGAGAGACCGAUAGCGAACAAGUACCGUGAGGGAAAGAUGAAAAGAACUUUGAAAAGAGAGUUAAACAGUACGUGAAAUUGUCAAAAGGGAAGCGUUUGACACCAGUGUUGUUUUUCCGAAAAUCAAUUACGAAUGUUUUGUUUUUGAGGAGUUAUGACUUCAUCGGCUUGCUCCUUUCUUUAUGAAACUUUCUUAAUGCACUUUUCGGUUAACAAGUCAACAUCAAUUUCUUUUGUUGUAAAAGGGUAUGAGGAAGGUGGCUUUCUUUUCGGAGAAAGUGUUUAUAGCCUCUGUGCCUCUGCAAUCGGAGAGAUUGAGGUCUGCAGCGUAGAUCCUUCGGGGUUAGAUACAGUUUGUGCUAAGUUAUAGCUUUUCAUAGACAACUUGUUGACUAUGUUUAGUCUUGUAGCUUACUCGCUGAUGCUAUUUUACCUACGCUUAGGAUGUUGAUAGUCACAGCGUGUAC